UAGAAAACAAGGGACUAAAUGUCAGGCUGAAAAUUUGCGCAACUAGAAGUCUAACUUUUGUAACUUGGGUGAACCAAAAUAUAAUUUUUCCCAAAGCUUUUCUCACACGCAAAGCUUGAAGACUUUCGUAGCUCUUCCGAGACACUGCACAACUGAUAGCAAUUAGGCCCAAAAAUAACUGACUCGACAAUUCUUCCCAACGAAGUCGAACAUAUGAUUUUCAAAAAGAGUCCAACAUAUAGCUUUCUAAAAACAAAGUCCAACAUAGCUCCUCCCAAUCUAGUUCGCUCCAUAUGCUACUACUACCCGCCAAGCGGGACAUGAGGAAGGCCGUCCAGUCCAUCAUCUUCAACGGGAACUCCCUGGUAAAAAUCAACGCGUGAUAAUCCCCCUCACGGCCUCACCCCAGUUUGGAGAUCAACAACGUGCACCCGCUAACUUCACUCACGCAUAUACGUCUUGUCUCCGGCCAUUGGGUCGUUGCACGGCGAAGAAUUGAAGCCAAGGACGGGCGGCGCACGCCCUCCGGCUAGCGGCGGAGGUGGAACGAAGGGUCGCCAAUGAUGCGGUGCCAUCGCUUGCACGUCACCGCGCAGCGGAAGAGGUCCGGGACGCCCGGCACGCGCAGCAGGAUCUCGACGACGACCUCGUCCGGCCGGCUCGCGACGUGAGGAUCGACGUACGUACGGUUCGACGUGGGAUUUGGAGGCAAGCGCAGGUUGGAUCGGAGUAUAUCUCUCCCUCUCUCGCUAAUUAAUAAUAAAGCACGGAGUGAGCCUGUCGGUUCACCGUCGCGACCUUUUUGCAAAUAGACCCUCCUAUUUUCUAGACAUUGCACCCGCAGUCCCCUCAUAAGUCAGACCCGAACCGGCACAGAGGAGAAAAGAAGAAAAAAAAGCCCAGCGCCCCGCACGAUCCUGCCUCCUCGAUCCCAUCUCCACCUCCAUCCCGCCGCCACCUCCUGCCCCGCGCCGCCUCGACCGGGACCGCGCCCCUCCCCAAACGACGACGAUGAUGGAGGGCGGCGCCCAGCACCUGGCCGACAGAUUCGCCGGCUCCCCGCUCCUCGGGGCCAGCCCCUCCCCCGUGCCAGGUCGAGCAUCGGCUUGGAGGCCCACACACGAGCACGGGUUCGCUCGAUCCGUCCGGGUAGGGCGCCGCCGGCGGUCUUCUUCUCCGGCCAUCCGUCGUCGGCGGCCGUUCUUCCUGCUCCCGUGCCUCUGAUUUGGAUCGAGGUCGCGGUGGUAGUGGUUCGGCGGCGGUGGCGGCGUUGGGAGCAGCGGCGGCGGGUGGUGGGGUCCGGCAGCGGGUGCAAGGGCUAUGGCGCGGUGAUGGGGAGCUGCAGAUCUGUGUCCAUGGCCGGACCACCGCGGACAGGGGUUUCUUCCCGGAUUGUUGAUGAAUAUACUUGGGGAUUCAUGAUUCUUGCAUCCCAUGAUGUGACGCGAGAUUCGUUGGGAUUUUGGGCGAGGGAGAUGGGGUGCGAUUUGGGGGGAUCACGCCUCGGAUUCUUGGGGUCGCCGGGAAUGCGGUGAUUGAAGGAGAAGACGGUGGAGGGAGAGAGGGAGGAAGGGAGGAGGAGGGGGAGGCUGCGAUGGGACACGUUGGGGAUGCCCACUGAACGUUGGUGUCCUUCUGAACACAAAUCCAUGGAGUGCCCAACCCGGAUUUCAAAGGGACUUGGCUGGUUCGAUACUACCAAUUCCUUGGGUGCUGAUUUUGAGGGGGGCUUCUAGAUUGAGAUCGAGUGAGAGGGGGUUGACGAGGAGAGAGCAGUCAGGUGGCGGUGGCGGUGGCGGCGGUGACUUGGAGCACAGUCCAGCGACGACGGCCGUUCGGGAGCAGUAGCGCGACGGCGGCUGUUCGGGAGUAGGAGUGAGAUAGCGGCUGGGCAUCGCGGGGUUCAGUGGUUGGAGAGGAUAAGGGGGACGGCAGCUGCACUCGGCACCAUGGGACACCCAACGUGGUUGGAGAGGAUAAGGUUGAUGGCUGAUUUCUUUGUUCGCCUUUGUUGUGGUCAAUGGUUUCGCAUCCUUCUUAAUCCCUUGCCAUGAGGCAAUAAAUCGCAAAAGAGCAGACACCACCCUAUGCUCCACCUUCCAUGUACAUGUAUUCUUCUUCGGACCCUGAACCGAAGGCUUCUUCCGGUCCUUAUCAAGGUACGGCUGAUAGGUGGUUUCACCGCGGAGCUCCCUCGCCGUCAGUACAGCGACGCUUGAUCGAUCGUGUCGCAGCUCAUCACCUUGCAUCGCCCUCCCACCACUGCUUCUCUCUGAUCUUGGUCAGAUGUUCUGGUUGAUGUGCAAGGAGAUGAGAGGGCAAGCUAGGGGAAUGGAAUUAGAGAGACGAUUGUAGAGCGGCAUCGUUGUUGUCCCUGUUGCUUUAUUCUUUUCUUACUCAAGUGGUUACUUUACCUUCAUCAGUCCAUCUUCACACUUUUGAUUGUCUCAGCUUAGCUUGCAGUUCCAGCUUAGAUUUGUCAGUUUUAUGGGUUAGCCAGAUUGUUCAAAUAUUUGUCGUCCAAUUUAUUUAUAAUCUAACUGUGCAAAUGUUUGGUUGAUUCACAAUUUUCUCAUCCUUUCACCGCUUGUGUUUAUCAGGUCUGGAGAUAUGAACCAAUCACCCUGAUACCUUUACUAGGCUGAUGCAUAUGGAGCUUGCAAUCAGAUCCAAAAUAUGGAGCUGUCUAACAAAAGCAGGGCACCAUUAUUGAUGGCAAGUCAAUUUCAGAGGACAUAAAGUUACAGAUUGCUGAACAAUUUCGCCGAAUGAAAAAGGCAGUUGCACAUGUUCCUGGAUUAGCUAUUGUAUUGGUAGGCGAUAGAAGGGACUCUCAAUCCCAUGUGGGAUUUAAACUGAAGGGUUGUGAGGAAGUUGGGAUAAAAUCUUUGUUGUCAGAGUUGCCUUAGAACUGCACAAAAGACAAGUGGUGGAUUCAGCAUCAAGAUUAAGUGGAGAUCUAUCUGUUCAUCGCAUCCUUGUGCCGCUACCACUACCACAAGUAAUGUAUUGUACUACCUCAUGCACUAAAGCAUCUUCCAUGCAAAAAAAACUUGGUUCUUUUUAAUUCUUUAGUGUUUUUUCUAAUUUACUUUUCACAGGGGUGCGAUGAGCCUGGGCUCAGAAAUGGAUAUUUGGAUGUAAUGGUCUUUGUUUUAGUAUUUUUUUUCCAGCCAAAAACUGUUGCCAAAAGUGGGAGACGGCUCAUAGUAGAAAUCAUCAGCUGUUGUUUGUUCAAAAAGCAUGAACUUAACUUCUGCAAGAACAAUUCAAUGUCAGACUGCAUUUUCAUUGUUUCAAACAGUUUA